rnacentral:rRNA from 1 species
UACAGAGGUCUCAAGCGUUGUUCGGAUUCAUUGGGCGUAAAGGGCGCGUAGGCGGCGGGGUAAGUCGGACGUGAAAUCCCUCGGCUUAACCGGGGAACUGCGUCCGAUACUGGAUGGCUUGAGUUUGGGAGAGGGAUGCGGAAUUCCAGGUGUAGCGGUGAAAUGCGUAGAUAUCUGGAGGAACACCGGUGGCGAAGGCGGCAUCCUGGACCAACACUGACGCUGAUGAGCGAAAGCCAGGGGAGCAAACGGG